GUGGGUAAAAUGCUAUCAUGCUAUCAAACAGCAUCACAUGCUACAGAGAAGUCUUGUGAAAGGAUGUCAGUGUGGCAAACUUCAUUGUCUUUUAAGAAAUUGCCACAGCUAUCGUAAUCUUCAACCACCACCACCCUGAUGAGUCAGUAGCCAUCGUUAACGUUGGCGUAAGACCCUCCACCAGCAAAAAGAUUGUUAGCAUUUUUUUAGCAGUGAUGUAUUUAUCAAUUAUACAUAAUGCUAUUGUACACUUCUUAAUAGACUAUGGUAUAGUGUAACCAUAAUUUAUGCACUGGGAAACCAACAAAUUCAUGAGAUUCGCUUUAUUGUAGUGCUCUGGAAUUGAGCCUGCCGUGUUUCUGAGGUUGCUCCUUGAGGGCAGGACAGUUCUUAUGGCUUUAUCCGUUGCGUAAGCACAGAGAGGUCUGCGAGGUCAAAACUAUUGUCAUGAUAGCAAGAUGCCUGUCUUUUUCAUUUAUUCUCACGGUGUGCAGAGGCUACAUGAUGUGUGAUGACAUCCUCAUUGAUGUUAAUGAAUGGUGCUAUACUUGAAUUUUCUAAGGUGUCAUUAGGUAGGUUUAGGUAUGCAUACUUGUUUUUAGAAAUUAUUUUUUUCCUUUUUCCCAUUUUUAGAAAUCAACUCAUUUUUUAGGUUAUGCCUUCAGUAAUCUUUGCAACCUCAAUAUUGUGUAAUGGUUACUUUAAAAUACUGUAGUUUUCUUUGUGCCUAAGUAUAAACAUAAGUACAUUUUGUUGUUUUGUUUGCAAUAGUGGUUUAAAUAUUUUCCCAAAAUAUCCAAAUUUAAAAAUUCUACAACUUUAGAAUUUAAUAAAUUUAUUCUAAAAUAUUUAUA
rnacentral:lncRNA from 1 species